GACGAACGCUGGCGGCGUGCUUAACACAUGCAAGUCGAACGGAAAGGCCCUGCUUUUGUGGGGUGCUCGAGUGGCGAACGGGUGAGUAACACGUGAGUAACCUGCCCUUGACUUUGGGAUAACUUCAGGAAACUGGGGCUAAUACCGGAUAGGAGCUCCUGCUGCAUGGUGGGGGUUGGAAAGUUUCGGCGGUUGGGGAUGGACUCGCGGCUUAUCAGCUUGUUGGUGGGGUAGUGGCUUACCAAGGCUUUGACGGGUAGCCGGCCUGAGAGGGUGACCGGCCACAUUGGGACUGAGAUACGGCCCAGACUCCUACGGGAGGCAGCAGUGGGGAAUAUUGCACAAUGGGCGGAAGCCUGAUGCAGCAACGCCGCGUGCAGGAUGACGGCCUUCGGGUUGUAAACCGCUUUCGCCUGUGACGAAGCGUGAGUGACGGUAAUGGGUAAAGAAGCACCGGCUAACUACGUGC
rnacentral:rRNA from 1 species